ensembl:lncRNA
CUUCCAUGGUUUGCUGUGUCGGUACCUCCUUAUGAACUUUCUAAUUGAUUUAUUGUAAACCUCCCCCUUGGCUGGUCUCCUUGGAGACCGGAGUUGGCUCAGGCCUGUCACACCUGGGCCUGAUCAACUAACUUCCAGUUCUGGAGCUGCUGCUGGAGGAGGUGCCAGUGGGCAAGAUGGCAGCUGGUGAGAUGACACAAGGCAGAAAGAAGGGUGAAAGGUUCAAAGGUUAAUCUGUGAAAUACAAGCUGAGUACUUUCUCCUUUGAGUCAAGUACAGGAGAGAUAAUUACAUGUUCCGCUCCUGAAAAUGUUGAGCAGUUGACGGACAGUGAACUCUCAGAAAUUUAACCUGACAGAAAUGAAGAGGGAAAAACCGCCAACAGAGGGAGAAGGCGCUUACGUGACUCUGGGCGAGAGCUGUGUUCUGCUCUCCAGAGCAGAGCGCCGCUGAAAGGAGUGAUAACUGGGGUGGCGCUGAGGUGGAUUGACUGAAGUUGAGGAUUCUGUGUCUGAUGCAUGCCGUUUGUUUCGAUGCAGACCAGGACAUGGGCUGGGUUCCAUAGACGCUUGAUGACAACAGACGACAGGGAGCGACUGCCAAACUACCAACAGUGAAACUAACCAACGGCAGACGAGCAACCGACGGGAGUUGGCUGUGGCCAUCCUGGACACUCGUCCAGGAGCACAGACCUUUGAUUUUGGUUUGUGAUUGUGUACUU